CGCGGCUGGGGCGGCGGCGGCGGUGGCGGCGGCGGCGCGGGCUGCGGGCCUCACCGCCCGGGCCCUCCGCGGCGGCCUCCCCGCCCGCGUCCCGGCCCGCGUCCCCGGCCGCCCGCCAGCCGCCGCCGCUUCCGUCUCGUCCUUCCUUCUGUUCCCGCCGCCGCCGCGCCUCAGCGCUAGGGGCGGCCCGAGCGCUUUGUGGACGCGCUCGGCGCUCACCUAGGACUGUCACCGGCUCCUUCGGGGCCCGCGGGAGCGCUCCCGAAAGACUCCGCGGGUGGUGGUGACGGUGUCGGGAUCCCGGUCCCCACCGGCCCCGAGAGCUACUCCUUCCCCGCGCCCCGCUCAGCGCGAAAGCUGCGGGAAGCUCCAGUCUAAGGCAACUGACCUCAGAAACUGAAGUUUUGACCAGAUCAAUGAAUUCCAGCAACAACAGAAAAGGAACAAAUGGACUUACUCAAAGGAAUAUUAUUGUGUAAAGCCAGUAUUUUUGGAAAGUUUGUAUUUUGAGAUCGUGCUUUUUGUAUACUAAAAUUUGAAAUUUAAGUAAUACACAAAAAUUAUACUUAUUUUGUUUAAAGGAGUAUCAUUUUAAAAAAGAGGAAACAAUAAAUAAAAGAAGUAUUUUGCAGACUAUAUUCAGGUAACAAUCAUCUGUACUGCUUAUAAAAUGAAAGAUCUGACCAUCUUUUAUCAGAUGAAUUAUUUCAGAAGUUAUGUGUAUAAUAUAAGAAUGUGUGAUCCGAAUUAAAUACAUUGCAGACACAAGAACAAAAUAUGCUUUUAAUAACUCAUUUAAAAUAAACACUUAAACCAAA
ensembl:lncRNA